rnacentral:tRNA from 1 species
UCUCCGUUUUAAGAGAGACGGGAGAAGG